rnacentral:lncRNA from 1 species
CCUGUCUCCUCAUUAGCACUAAGCCUCAUGACCUCAGCUGUCUGGUAAGUGUUGUGGAAGCCCUUGCAAUCUAGCUUAGACAUAAAAAGGGAGUACAUCUGGGCACCGUGAGGGACAGAAACCAGGAACUGGAACCAAAAACCGGAGACUUUAUUGGAGGGAAGGAUUGGGAGGUGGGAGAAGGGGGGACACUUGAUCUUCUGUAAAGGAAGAGUCCCAAACCCCUCAGCCUGGCACUCAAAGCCUGCCCUGGCCGUGUGGUUUCCUACCUUACCAACAGCACCUCUUGAACGUUUCUCCUCAAAAACACCAUGAACAUUCAUGCUUCUUUUUCCUCAUAUCAUUCAAAAAAUAUGAUUUUAAAUUAUAAGGGGCCUUAUGAAAUAAAAAUGUCUAAGAAAAGAAAUAUAUCUCAUUAAGAUGAAGGCCUCAUUUUCAGUAAGAUGUAAGUAAAAUAAAACUUACAUCCUGACUUUUUAGAAAAUGCUCUGUUAUGUAACCUAUAACUAGGUGGUAUGGCAUAGAAGUUUCUUCCACUAUAUAUUGAUGGAGUUUCAAAGAUAUGAAGGUGCUGUGGUCUGGAUGUACCACCAAAUUCUGGUGUUGAAAUCCUAACCCUCAAAGAGGUGGGGCCUUUGGGAGGUGAUUAGAUCAUGAGGGUGGAUCCCUUAACUCUUCCAUUAUAUGAGGACAAACCAAAAAACUGAACCAAGUCUGAACUAGGAAGCUGGCCCUCACCAAGCACCGCACCUGCCAGCACCUUGGACUUCCCAGCCUCCAGAACGGUGAGAAAUAAACGUUGGUUAUAAGCCAUCCAGUCUUUGGUAUUUUACUAUAGCAGUUUUGGCAUUUCCAUUAUGGCAGUCUUUGGUAUUGAUACAGAAGGACUGGGCUCCCGACUAAACCCCACCCUUGAGCCUGGAACUGUGGCCCUAAGUGAAAACAGCUGACCCUGUUUUUCCACCCAAAUGACGCCUUUUUGGCCUUCCAUGCCCCAUCCUGUGCCCAUAAAAAGACUUCAGCUGGCAGAGCAACACAAGCGGCUGAGUGCUCGGGAUACAAGCUGCUAAGCAUCAGGGAUUCAAGUGAUUUAAUGGCAAGCAGAGAAGCAACUGAGCAUCAGAGACUAUGGAAAGAUAUGGCUAACUUCAGCCGGUGCAGCUUUGGAGAGGGGUCUGGCUGGAAACAGCCAGGCUUCAGGGAAACAUCACCUUCUUUGGGCACCAUCCUCUUUCCAACUCCCUAUCCCGCUGAGAGCCACUUCCAUUGCCCAAUAAAAUCCUCCACAUACACUGCCUUUCAAGCCAUUUGUGAGACCUGAUUCUUCCUGGAUGCCGGACAAGAACCUGGGUGCAGAGAGGGCAAGGGCUGCCAUCCUCCACUGAGCUGGUUGGCACUUGGCUGUCCCAGGAUGGCAGAGCUCAAAGAGCAUUGGUUGGACACCGAUGCAGGGCCUGCACAGAGCCUGCUCCCACCAGAGAGGAGUGAUUGGCCAGUUCCAGCGUUGGUUCACUCUGGGGCCCGCACCUGCUCACUCGCAUGCUCCCUCUUGCACGGGGAUUGAGCACGGGGAGGCUGAGUAAAUGAGCCACACCCCUAUUGCAAGUCCUGAGAUGGGGGUCAAGGGAAUUAUCCCAUCUCAGCAGUUUAUUAUAGCCAUCUUUGGUAUUUUAUUAUAGUCGAGUGGAUUAACAGAGAAAGGAGCUCUCCAAUGGGUAUCUGUUGUUUUUUGUUUAAUAAGCAUUUUAGUGGCAGAAAUAGAUAGUUGUGUUGGGGCUCAGAAAUCAACAUCCCCAAAGAUGGUGUUUUGACCUGUUAAACUGGGAUCUCUCUGACUCCCCCACCCCCACUGUCUCUCCCAUGGAAUCUGGAGUUCCUUUAUCCACCUAAGACCCAAACCCACCAAGGAGAAGAAUUAUUCUUGUUCCCUCCCUGUUGUCAUUGUUUAUUGCAGGAAAGAAGACCAAGAUGUAAGCACACCUGAGCAGAUCCUUUUCCAAGUAUCCUGAUGUCUCCAAGGGCUGUUCAGAUUCCAAAGAGAACUAUCUACAAGUUAAUCUCUGUUACUGGAGUCAUUCAUUCUCCGUAGUAAUCUGCUCCACAGAAUUCCUCUUCUCUUCCCUCCCAUAACCUGUUUUACCAGGAUCCAAGCCUCCAUUCUUUCUGUAACCUCAUUGGGAAGUUGGUUCUUCAUUUGGAAGGCUCCCAUGUGUACAUGUUAAAUAAAUAUCUAUGCCUUUUCUUCUGUUAAUCAGUCUGCUUCAGUCAGUGAUUUUUAGUGAAACUUUAGGGGGCCAAGGGCCUUGGUCCUCAUAUUUGCUUGUCCAAUAUCAAUUCUUCACUCUUCUUUACUAAUAGAAUCCUGAUUUGGGUGGGGGCAGGGGGGCACGACAAUGUACCCAACUAAAUAAAUACCUUUCCCAGUCUCUCUUGAAGAUAUGGGUGAAAAUAUGAUAAAGUUCCUGUCAUUGAUAGUUAAGCAGAAGUUGUGAGGUGAGGCUUUUAUCUUGGCCCUUCCUCCUUCCUGUUGUGUGGACAAUGGACCUGAUGUCUGGGGCUUUGGCAGUGAUUUUAUGACUAUGAGGACAAAGACCUCACCCUCCAGGGACAGUGGAGUUGAGAACCAGGAGGAG